GAUGAACGCUGGCGGCGUGCCUAAUACAUGCAAGUCGAGCGAACAGACGAGGAGCUUGCUCCUCUGACGUUAGCGGCGGACGGGUGAGUAACACGUGGAUAACCUACCUAUAAGACUGGGAUAACUUCGGGAAACCGGAGCUAAUACCGGAUAAUAUAUUGAACCGCAUUGUUCAAUAGUGAAAGACGGUUUUGCUGUCACUUAUAGAUGGAUCCGCGCCGCAUUAGCUAGUUGGUAAGGUAACGGCUUACCAAGGCAACGAUGCGUAGCCGACCUGAGAGGGUGAUCGGCCACACUGGAACUGAGACACGGUCAAGACUCCUAAGGGAGGCAGCAGUAGGGAAUCGUCCGCAAUGGGCGAAAGCUUGACGGAGCAACGCCGCGUGAGUGAUGAAGGUCUUCGGAUCGUAAAACUCUGUUAUUAGGGAAGAACAAAUGUGGAAGUAACUAUGCACGUCUUGACGGUACCUAAUCAGAAAGCAACGGCUAACUACGUG
rnacentral:rRNA from 1 species